rnacentral:rRNA from 1 species
AACGAACGCUGGCGGCAGGCUUAACACAUGCAAGUCGAGCGCCCCGCAAGGGGAGCGGCAGACGGGUGAGUAACGCGUGGGAAUCUACCGUACCCUACGGAAUAGCUCCGGGAAACUGGAAUUAAUACCGUAUACGCCCUACGGGGGAAAGAUUUAUCGGGGUAUGAUGAGCCCGCGUUGGAUUAGCUAGUUGGUGGGGUAAAGGCCUACCAAGGCGACGAUCCAUAGCUGGUCUGAGAGGAUGAUCAGCCACAUUGGGACUGAGACACGGCCCAAACUCCUACGGGAGGCAGCAGUGGGGAAUAUUGGACAAUGGUCGCAAGCCUGAUCCAGCCAUGCCGCGUGAGUGAUGAAGGUCUUAGGAUUGUAAAGCUCUUUCACCGAUGAAGAUAAUGACGGUAGUCGGAGAAGAAGCCCCGGCUAACUUCGUGCCAGCCGCCGCGGUAA